rnacentral:rRNA from 1 species
GAUGAACGCUGGCGGCGUGCCUAAUACAUGCAAGUCGAGCGAACAGACGAGGAGCUUGCUCCUCUGACGUUAGCGGCGGACGGGUGAGUAACACGUGGAUAACCUACCUAUAAGACUGGGAUAACUUCGGGAAACCGGAGCUAAUACCGGAUAAUAUAUUGAACCGCAUGGUUCAAUAGUGAAAGACGGUUUCGCUGUCACUUAUAGAUGGAUCCGCGCCGCAUUAGCUAGUUGGUAAGGUAACGGCUUACCAAGGCAACGAUGCGUAGCCGACCUGAGAGGGUGAUCGGCCACACUGGAACUGAGACACGGUCCAGACUCCUACGGGAGGCAGCAGUAGGGAAUCUUCCGCAAUGGGCGAAAGCCUGACGGAGCAACGCCGAGUGAGUGAUGAAGGUCUUCGGAUCGUAAAACUCUGUUAUUAGGGAAGAACAAAUGUGUAAGUAACUAUGCACGUCUUGACGGUACCUAAUCAGAAAGCCACGGCUAACUACGUG